rnacentral:rRNA from 1 species
UGGGGAAUCUUGCGCAAUGGGGGAAACCCUGAUGCAGCGACGCCGCGUGAGCGAAGAAGGCUUUCGAGUCGUAAAGCUCUGUCCUAUGAGAAGAUAAUGACGGUAUCAUAGGAGGAAGCCGUGGCUAAAUACGUGCCAGCAGCCGCGGUAAUACGUAUGGGGCGAGCGUUGUCCGGAAUUAUUGGGCGUAAAGGGUACGUAGGCGGUUUUUUAAGUCAGGUGUCAAAGCGUGGAGCUUAACUCCAUUAAGCACUUGAAACUGAAAGACUUGAGUGAAGGAGAGGAAAGUGGAAUUCCUAGUGUAGCGGUGAAAUGCGUAGAUAUUAGGAGGAAUACCGGUAGCGAAGGCGACUUUCUGGACUUUUACUGACGCUCAGGUACGAAAGCGUGGGGAGCAAACAGG